AGGAGGCGGGGCGCCUGUGGGAGUCGUGGAGGGAACUUUCCCAGGCCCCGAGGCGGAUCGGGUAUUGAGUCCAUGGAGCGAGCUGAGAGCUAGAGUACAGAACCUGCUAAGGCCAUCAAACCUAUCGAUCGGAAGUCAGUCCAUCAGAUUUGCUCUGGGCCGGUGGUACUGAGUCUAAGCACUGCGGUGAAGGAGUUAGUAGAAAACAGUCUGGAUGCUGGUGCCACCAAUAUUGAUCUAAAGCUUAAGGACUAUGGAGUGGAUCUCAUUGAAGUUUCAGACAAUGGAUGUGGGGUAGAAGAAGAAAACUUUGAAGGCUUAAAUGCCAAACCUUAGAUUUUAUGAUGACUCCUCAACCGUUUAGAUCUUGGUUAUCUCAGAGGGAUCAUCAGCUUUUUAAGAAAGUUUUGAGAGAAAAGCAAGUGAAGAAAAACAUAGUCAAUGCUCAACAUCACGGGUCUCUCACUGAACACACCACACCUGGUAUUCUCUCACAGCGAUGUCACCAUUUCUACCUGCCACGCAUCGGCGAAGGUUGGGACUCGACUGGUGUUUGAUCACGAUGGGAAAAUCAUCCAGAAAACCCCCUACCCCCACCCCAGAGGGACCACAGUCAGCGUGAAGCAGUUAUUUUCUACACUACCUGUGCACCAUAAGGAAUUUCAAAGGAAUAUUAAGAAGACGUGCCUGUUUCCCCUUCGCCUUCUGCCGUGAUUGUCAGUUUCCUGAGGCCUCCCCAGCCAUGCUUCCUGUACAGCCUGCAGAACUGUGAUCUCAGCCCUCCUCCAGGCUUCGAUUAUAACUUACAGGAUUGUGAUUCACACAUUUCAGUUUCCACCACAGGCCCCUCCAGACAUGUCCAUCUGCCUGCUGUGUUGACUUUUCCCUUUGGAGUCUUGAGGCAGCUACAAGCUUACUGACCAGAAAUGAACUCAAGCUCUCCCCGAAGCCUGGUCCUCUUCCAGGAUCAGCCAGCCUGGAAGAUGGCACUGUCAUCCACCCUGUUCUCAGGCCUGCCACCCAGGAGUCAACCUUAGCCCCAUCUAAUUGUCAGAGGCAUCUGAACCACAGCAACUCCAUCUUGAGUAGGGGAUGGGUAAAAUGAGGCUGAGACCUGCUGGGCUGCAUUCCCAGACAGCCAAGGCAUUAGCCACAGGAUAAGAUAGGCGGUCGGUACAAGACACAGGUCAUAAAGACCUUGCUGAUAAAACAGUUGGCAGUAAAGAAGCCAGCCAAAACCCACUAAAACCAAGAUGGCAACGAGAGUGACCUCUGGUCGUCCUCACUGCUACCCUCCCACCAGCACCAUGACAGUUUACAAAUGCCAUGGCAAUGUCAGAAAGUUACCCUAUAGGGUCUAAAAAGGGGAGGCAUGAAUAAUCUACCCCUUGUUUAGCAUAUCAUCAAGAAAUAACCAUAAAAAUAGGCAACCAGCAGCCCUCAGGGAUGCUCUGUCUAUGGAGUAGCCAUUCUUUUGUUCCUUUACUCUCUUAAUAAACUUGUUUUCACUUUA
ensembl:lncRNA PMS2P4 PMS1 homolog 2, mismatch repair system component pseudogene 4